rnacentral:rRNA from 1 species
AACCGCGGUUAGACGAGAGGCUCUAGUUGAUGUACUACGGCGUAAAGGGUGGUUAGAGAAAAAUUAAAAUAAAGCCAAAUAGCCCUUUAGCCGUCAUACGCUUUUAGGCGCUAGAAGCCCGAGCACGAAAGUAGCUUUAGUUGAAUUACCCGACCCCACGAAAGCUAAGGAA